GUCCACGCCCUAACGAUGUCAACUGGUUGUUGGGAGGGUUUCUUCUCAGUAACGUAGCUAACGCGUGAAGUUGACCGCCUGGGGAGUACGGCCGCAAGGUUGAACUCAAGUAAUUGACGGGACCGCACAAGCGGUGGAUGAUGUGGUUUAAUUCGACGCAACGCGAAAACCUUAACCUACCCUUGACAUGUCUGGAAUCCCGCAGAGAUGUGGGAGUGCUCGAAAGAGAGCCAGAACACAGGUGCUGCAUGGCCGUCGU
rnacentral:rRNA from 1 species